GCGCAUGCGUGCUCCGUUCCCUUCUCAUAAGUGUGCAAGGUCUUUCGGCCGGCGGCCGAGGGUGGGGUUUAAAACGAACCAAUUCGCAGUGGAGUACGCUGGGGGAGCUCCGUCCCCUGCCCAGCAACUGUUGCUUAGCGAGGGGGAGAGGGGAAGCUUUCCCUGAGGCGCGUCCACGUGAGAGGGGACGACCCAGGUGGGGCUGGGGGGCGCGUGAUCAUCGUGUGCGCAGGCGCGGGCAGGUGCAGGUGCAGCCCGGGCCCUCACCCCCGGCUGCGCCGUUGAGGGCGGGGUCACCGGGCGGCUCCGCGACCUUCGCCGGGCUACUCCAGAGUAGUCACGUGCCUGGUGGGAGGGCCCUGCCUCCCCCAUGGCGCUCACUACCGUAUUUACCCGAGUGUGCGGGCAUUUGGAAGUGAAGAUGCCUCCACUCCCACCCCCUACAACUCUAGAGGUUUCUGGAUGCAUGAUGCUGAGGAGCUGAAGAUAAAUAUAAUGUGCAGUUCGACUUUGUGGUUCAAUCCCUUUCCAUUUCCUGGAGCAGCACCAUUUGAUGGGAAGAGAGAAGGAGGAAGUUCUCCAAAAAAAUUCUAAGUGUGAUUCCCCAUGGGAAAGAGUGGAUUAAUUCCUCAGUACCACAGAGAAAAGAAGUCCUGAAGCAAGAGUUGUCAAGGGGUCUGAGUGGUGCACGGAUACAGGGGGGAAAAAACAGUGCAGGUGAGGGAAGGGAAGAUUGGGCAUUGGACCUCCUUACCUAUGGUAAAUUAAUACCUUUUCCCAAAAGAAGAUAAAGCAGUGAUGGCAUCCCAAAGUGAGCAGCUAAAAUCAUAGGGUAUUUGUUAUCUUAACUCUGCUUUUUCCUGUUUUCUAACAUUUAUAAUUUGUUUCUUGAUAUUUAUGGGUAGCCUAGGGGCUUUAUGUAAUUCUAGUAUUCCCCUGAGGGGUAUCUGUGGAUACUUCAGUCUGCAUUCCCAGUGUUCAUGAGUGAAGCUCUUGUGUUCAGGAAGUACACGAGCCGCGGUGAGCAAUGUGCAGCUCUAACCUCAGCUUCGUAUUAGCAAGUUGUUGUGGAGGGUUAUUUUUUAAUAUAUUGGAAAGAUUUUGUGCCUUUAUGUUUUCCUACUUCAGUCCUUUUCUCAGAAAAACUCAGAAAUUAUAAUUAUCCUGGGAUUAUACACCAUUUGCAGAAACUGUCUUUUUUUUGUUCUGUAAGCAUUAUGGAUCUCUGGUCCAUGACUACAGCUCAAAGGUACUACCUCAGUAUAAAUAAAUAAUGAAUAUGGAAACAGUAAAGAUUUAUAACUAAGAAAAGUGUUUAGGUAAUUUGGAGACUGAUUCUAAUGUUGAGCUGAUUUUAUCAUUUUUUUGUUUUGCUCAUUAUUGGACUGCAAGUUUCUUUAGGUCAUAAGAAUCUUGUAUGCACUUUCUGAAAGAUCAAGGGCCUUCUCUUCAGAAGCACUAAAGCUAUAGCUCAAAUUCAACAGAUGAGGACCUCAGAUGCUUAGCAUCUUUGCAAAAAAAACCUCAGCACUUUUGCACCGUUUAAGAUGUUCAGACUUAAAUCUUAUUUCUUUACCAAGUCUCCAAAAUAUUUUGGAAUUUUUUUCAAUGAAAUGUUUACAAGAUAUACUGAUAUGACUAUGUGGAAUCUAUUUCUUGUUUCUUCACUGAUUAAUUUGAUGUAAUAUCAUCUUAAACUGAUAAAUACAAUAUAACAAAAGUAAAAAUAUUCUUUUUUCUAA